rnacentral:rRNA from 1 species
UCCGUAGGUGAACCUGCGGAAGGAUCAUUAUUGAGUAUUAUACCUUGGGAAGGUUGUCGGCUGGCCACUCUUAAAGGCAAUGUGCACACCUGUCCCUUGCUACUACUUGUUUAUCCUCCUGUGCAUUUCUUGUGGCUCUCUGCUCUCUGGAUGGUGAGCGGUGGCCAUGCCCUCCUACUAUAGACGAGUGUAAUUGAGUGUGCUUGUGAUUAAUAUCUUUAUACAACUUUCAGCAACGGAUCUCUUGGCUCUCGCAUCGAUGAAGAACGCAGCGAAAUGCGAUAAGUAAUGUGAAUUGCAGAAUUCAGUGAAUCAUCGAAUCUUUGAACGCACCUUGCACUCCUUGGUAUUCCGAGGAGUACGCCUGUUUGAGUGUCAGUUGAACUAUAACGCACUUGGGRAUUGUGCCCAGGAGGCUGUCUUGAAGUGGGGAAUGCUUGCCUUUUGUGCUGUCUGUCAGGUAGUCGGCUGUUCCUUUGGGGUCCUGYGUGCACCUGUCUUGGGCUUUAGCAUGUUGGGUAGGCUUCUCUGAAAUGCAUUUGUGAGUGUUGCUUGCGACUUGCUCUGUUGGGUUUAUAGGCGUCAUAGUUUUAUGCGCCGGUGAGUCUGCUUGUGGCCUUGCUGUCCAACCAUGUCCGAAAGGCAUCUUGACGAGCUUGACCUCAAAUCAGGCGGACUACCCGCUGAACUUAAGCAUAUCAAUAAGCGGA